rnacentral:rRNA from 1 species
UACAGAGGUCCCAAGCGUUGUUCGGAUUCACUGGGCGUAAAGGGUGCGUAGGCGGUCGGGUAAGUCUGAUGUGAAAUCUCACAGCUUAACUGUGAAACUGCAUUGGAUACUAUUAGGCUUGAGAGUUGGAGGGGGGACUGGAAUUCUUGGUGUAGCAGUGAAAUGCGUAGAUAUCAAGAGGAACACCAGUGGCGAAGGCGAGUCCCUGGACAACUUCUGACGCUGAGGCACGAAAGCUAGGGGAGCAAACAGG